rnacentral:rRNA from 1 species
CUUAAAAUUCAAAGGAUUUGGCGGUAUUCUAGUCUAGUUAGAGGAACCUGUUUCGUAAAUGAUACUCCACGUAAUAUCUUACUAGCUUUUGUUUUAGUUUGUAUACCGCCAUUAUUAGAUAACUUUUAUAGGGAUAGUUAUUGAAAGUAAAUUUUUUAGGUAUAUUAGGUCAAGGUGCAGCUUAUGAGAAUAGAGAGAAUGGGUUACAAUAAGAUUUAUUUAAACGGAUUAACGGAGGAAGAAUUAUAGAGUUUUGUUAUGAAGGAGGAUUUAAUUGUAAUGGGAUUUUAAUAAGGUCUGAUGAUAUAGGUUCUAGAUUAUGUACACAUACGCCCG